AGGCGGGUUCGGCUCUGACCUGUCUUCCCUAAGGCUUGACGCUAUGGGGAGGUGGGCUGUGGGUUUCACUGGAAACGGUGGCGCCUCCCGUAUUUGGAAAGGAGUCGGAGGAUAUUGCAU
rnacentral:ncRNA from 2 species